CCUACGGGAGGCAGCAGUGAGGAAUAUUGGUCAAUGGGCGCAAGCCUGAACCAGCCAUGCCGCGUGCAGGAAGACGGCCUAUGGAUUGUAAACUGCUUUUAUUAGGGAAUAGGUACCUAAUGAAUAAGCACCGGCUAACUCCGUGCCAGCAGCCGCGGUAAUACGGAGGGUGCAAGCGUUAUCCGGAAUCAUUGGGUUUAAAGGGUCCGCAGGCGGAUUUAUAAGUCAGUGGUGAAAGCCCGUCGCUUAACGACGGAACUGCCAUUGAUACUGUAAGUCUUGAAUUCGAUCGAAGUGGGCGGAAUAUGACAUGUAGCGGUGAAAUGCUUAGAUAUGUCAUAGAACACCGAUAGCGAAGGCAGCUCACUAGGUCUGAUUGACGCUCAGGGACGAAAGCGUGGGGAGCAAACAGGAUUAGAUACCCUUGUAGUC
rnacentral:rRNA from 1 species